rnacentral:rRNA from 1 species
UACGAAGGGGGCUAGCGUUGCUCGGAAUCACUGGGCGUAAAGCGCACGUAGGCGGCUUUUUAAGUCAGGGGUGAAAUCCUGGAGCUCAACUCCAGAACUGCCUUUGAUACUGAGAAGCUUGAGUCCGGGAGAGGUGAGUGGAACUGCGAGUGUAGAGGUGAAAUUCGUAGAUAUUGGGAAGAACACCGGUGGCGAAGGCGGCUCUCUGGACCGUAACUGACGCUGAGGCGCGAAAGCGUGGGGAGCAAACAGG